GACGAACGCUGGCGGCGUGCCUAAUACAUGCAAGUCGAGCGCAGGAAACUGACGGAACUCUUCGGAGGGAAGGCAGUGGAAUGAGCGGCGGACGGGUGAGUAACACGUAAGGAACCUGCCUCAAGGAUUGGGAUAACUCCGAGAAAUCGGAGCUAAUACUGGAUAGUUCAUCGGACCGCAUGGUCCGUUGAUGAAAGGCGCUUCGGCGUCACCUUGAGAUGGCCUUGCGGUGCAUUAGCUAGUAGGUGGGGUAAUGGCCCACCAAGGCGACGAUGCAUAGCCGACCUGAGAGGGUGAUCGGCCACACUGGGACUGAGACACGGCCCAGACUCCUACGGGAGGCAGCAGUAGGGAAUCUUCCACAAUGGACGAAAGUCUGAUGGAGCAACGCCGCGUGAGUGAUGAAGGUUUUCGGAUCGUAAAACUCUGUUGUAAGGGAAGAACACGUACGAGAGGGAAUGCUCGUACCUUGACGGUACCUUACGAGAAAGCCACGGCUAACUACGUGCCAGCCGCCGCCGUAACAC
rnacentral:rRNA from 1 species